rnacentral:tRNA from 1 species
GGGGUUGUAGCUCAUUGGUUCAGCACUUGCCUGGCAUGCAUGAGGCACUGGGUUCGAUCCUCAGCACCA